rnacentral:misc_RNA from 1 species
GUAUAACAAUUUCAAUUUCUUUUCCUUCUAAAACAUUGGUGUGUAUGUGAAAAAAACAUGUAGAUCCAAGGAAAGCCCCACAAAUUUGCAAAGCAGUCCUAAUGAUCCACACAAGUGGUGCACAAAUGAAUGGAGAAAUGAAGGACAACGAGCGUGCACGAUCGAGGGGAUCAGCGACAACUCGUCGUGAUACUUCGGUAAUGAUCCUUCCGCAGGUUCACCUACGGAAA